rnacentral:rRNA from 1 species
UACGGAGGAUCCAAGCGUUAUCCGGAAUCAUUGGGUUUAAAGGGUCCGUAGGCGGUUUUAUAAGUCAGUGGUGAAAUCCGGCAGCUCAACUGUCGAACGGCCAUUGAUACUGUAGAACUUGAAUUAUUGUGAAGUAACUAGAAUAUGUAGUGUAGCGGUGAAAUGCUUAGAUAUUACAUGGAAUACCGAUUGCGAAGGCAGGUUACUAACGAUAUAUUGACGCUGAUGGACGAAAGCGUGGGGAGCGAACAGG